rnacentral:pre_miRNA from 1 species
AGACACCCUUAUGGGGCCAUACUUGCUUCGGUGGGGCUUUGGUGCUCACUGAGUCUGCCCCCUGAGUGUGUCCCG